CAAUAAGAAUGGCAAAGGCAGAAAGGAGGCGUUUACGGAAACAAAAGGGUUGGAGGCAGGGCUUUCUGUGUUGUAGAUUCUAAAUCUUUUUCAUUUUAUUUAUUCUAUUUAUAAGGAUAUUAGUGCAAAAUAUAGAAAAGCUUAAAUCUUGAACAUUUUGAGUACUGUAAGUAUACAUGUUGAUAUUCUCUUAGGGGUUGACAUGCUAUUCUUGGUAGGUUUUACAUGGCUUUAGAGUUUGUUUUAUUAAACAUGGAGGCUGCAGAUGUAAAAACUUUUCUUGCAUCUUUGUUUUCCUUAUACAAUCUAUCCUAUACUCAUCUACUCUUCACUUUAUGAGAGUUCUUAGUAUGUAUAUUAUUGCAGAUUAGGUUAGCUAUUGUCAGUUAUUAUCAUAUUUGUUGUUAGCGGACUUACUAGUCGCAAAUGUUAACUUUAUAUAUAUAUAUAUAUAUAAUCGGAUUGAAGGAGAGCCUUGGUGUAAGUUGUAAAAUUAUGGGAUUU
rnacentral:lncRNA from 1 species